AAAGUCGUAACAAGGUAACCGUAGGUGAACCUGCGGUUGGAUCAUUAACAAAUUUAGGCUAAAACCUAAUCACACUAUGUGCACUGUUGACGUGUUUUGGUGGUUUCUGCUUCUUCAAACCGCAGAGGUCAACCCCCUGUGUGUUUUAAGAGGUGGAAUGUGGAUUUCCCUUGGAGAUCCUGGCAUUUCUAGGAGGUAGGGCAUGCCUUACAUCCUUUGAAUGGCCACCAGCUAUAAGCAGAUCCCUAGGAUUUGUUUAUAAAAUAACCUUCUAUAAAUAUUUGCCUGAUUUUUUUCACUUGUGAAAUCUAAAAACAACUUUUGACAACGGAUCUCUUGGCUCUC
rnacentral:misc_RNA from 1 species